UAAUCACUUAUGAACCCUCUUUAAAAGUUCUAUUAUGAUCCAAGAGCAAAAACCAAGGCAGACAACGUGAAUCUAAUGUCGGGAAUCUCGUGGUGCUUGUGAGAUUGUUGUUCUUCUUGUGGUUGAUUUGAAAAAUUAUUCAAAGUGAAGUAAUCUCAGAUUUGGAGGUUUUUUGUAUGGUUUAUGAUUAAGGUGUGGCGAAAAUAGCUUAUCGUGGUUGUUGGGCAGAUUAUUUCGCAAGAUCCAGGUAUUGGAGACAACAGACUUAGGCAUGGAUUGCUUCUCUGAUCGUGAGAAUUCAAGCAUAUUUUGUGCAGAUCCAGGUAUUGGAGACAACAAACUCAGGUAGGGAUUGCUUCUUUGAUCAUGAGGAUUCAAGGUAAAGCUACUCAAUCGCCGCAGUCCCUUGGAGUCCUUUCCUUACAUUAUUACUAUGAAUUCUCUAUCCGGAACAAUAUUGUGUUUUAAGUUAUCUUUACGUAUCAGUAGAGUUUGUGACUCUGUACUACCUAGUCUUGGGGAUUUGUAGUGGUUAUCGCUGUGUUGGCAUGUAUCAACUUUAAACUUCUUAUUUAUGUAAAUUUCUAUUUCAUAAUGUCAUGUUUAACUGAUUUAGCUAUUAGGUACCAUCACAAUGCCUAUGGCGGGAUUAUGAGUCGUGACAUGUUGGUAUCAGAGCUCUAGGUU